rnacentral:lncRNA from 1 species
AUGACAACAACAAAAAGAGUCCCCUCACUGCUGGUUGGGUUGGGCUUUAAAUUUUGGUCUCCCUCGACCUGCAUGCUGUUUACUUUUCAGAGUCCUCAAGUAGCUGGCGCAGACGUUCUGUGCAGAUGUCAUGCAUGCACCGUGAGGAAAAGCAAGAACAGCCUGUGUUCGUCCGUCUUAACCUGGAACCAGAACCGUGAAACAUGUCAUCUUCUGCUGGCUGCUGUACGCUUCUUCCUUGAGAAAUCAGAUUCUCAGGACCAGGAGGUAAAUGCUGCUUUCCUUCCAGUUGGAUUCUAGGGUUGGAAAUACCAAGUAAGAAAUUAGUGUAUAUGAUGCUGGAAACGUGUAGAGACGAGCUGCUCAUGACGGAAAGGCCUGCAACAGAUGUAUCUUUCAAGUUCUUGCCAAGAAAACGACUAUGAAGAACACGAUGGGUCAAGAAGACCAGUGGAAAACUCC